UGGGGAAUAUUGGACAAUGGGGCAACCCUGAUCCAGCCAUGCCGCGUGAGUGAUGAAGGCCUUCGGGUUGUAAAGCUCUUUUGGCGGGGACGAUGAUGACGGUACCCGCAGAAUAAGCCCCGGCUAACUUCGUGCCAGCAGCCGCGGUAAGACGAAGGGGGCUAGCGUUGUUCGGAAUUACUGGGCGUAAAGCGAGUGUAGGCGGUUGCCGUAGUCAGGUGUGAAAGCCUUGAGCUCAACUCAAGAAAUGCACUUGAUACUGGGUGACUAGAGGACCGGAGAGGAUAGUGGAAUUCCCAGUGUAGUGGUGAAAUACGUAGAGAUUGGGAAGAACACCAGUGGCGAAGGCGGCUAUCUGGACGGUUACUGACGCUAAGACUCGAAAGCGUGGGGAGCAAACAGGAUUAGAUACCCCUGGUAGUCCACGCCGUAAACGAUGGGUGCUAGACGUUGGCGAGCUUGCUCGUCAGUGUCGCAGC
rnacentral:rRNA from 1 species